UACGUAGGUGGCAAGCGUUGUCCGGAUUUAUUGGGUUUAAAGGGUGCGUAGGCGGCCCUGUAAGUCAGUGCUGAAAUAUCCCGGCUUAACCGGGAGGGUGGCAUUGAUACUGCAGGGCUUGAGUGAAGUCGAGGUAGGCGGAAUUGACGGUGUAGCGGUGAAAUGCUUAGAUGUCGUCAAGAACACCGAUAGUGAAGACAGCUUACUAGGCUUAUACUGACGCUGAGGCACGAAAGUGUGGGGAUCAAGCAGG
rnacentral:rRNA from 1 species